UACAGAGGUCUCAAGCGUUGUUCGGAUUUACUGGGCGUAAAGGGCGCGUAGGCGGCUUAACAAGUCACUUGUGAAAUCUCCGGGCUUAACUCGGAACGGCCAAGUGAAACUGUCAAGCUAGAGUGCAGAAGGGGCAAUCGGAAUUCUUGGUGUAGCGGUGAAAUGCGUAGAUAUCAAGAGGAACACCUGAGGUGAAGACGGGUUGCUGGGCUGACACUGACGCUGAGGCGCGAAGCCAGGGAGCAAACGGG
rnacentral:rRNA from 1 species